rnacentral:misc_RNA from 1 species
UUGAAUCCAAAGGGAUGUUGCUGGCCUUUACAAGCCGUGCACUCCCACCUUUACAUCCACCUGUGCACUUGCUGCAGACUAGGAUUAAUUUCUGAGUCUAUGUUUUCAUAUACUCUUUAAAGUAAAUGAAUGUAUUAUAGGCUUCAGCCAACAAAGC